rnacentral:rRNA from 1 species
CACGUAGGGGCCAAGCGUUGUCCGGAUUUAUUGGGCGUAAAGAGCUCGUAGGCGGUUCGACAAGUCGGGUGUGAAAACUCCGGGCUCAACCCGGAGACGCCACCCGAUACUGUCGUGACUGGAGUCCGGUAGGGGAGUGGGGAAUUCCUGGUGUAGCGGUGAAAUGCGUAGAUAUCGGGAGGAACAUCAGUGGCGAAGGCGGCUACCUGGCCCAAUACUGACACUCAGGUGCGACAGCGUGGGGAGCAAACAGG